CAAGAAGUUUCAUAAAAUGUAACCCCAAGGAGAUAUUUUUCUUCCCCAGCUCUGUAUUGGUUGAACAUAUUAUUUAUUCCUCCACUCAUCCACUUCCUGUGCUGCCUAAUAAAGGUAAGACUGCCCGUGUAAAACCCAGAUUAGCCCAGCUUGCCUUCUUUUGCCUGUAGAUUUUCCCUCGGAUCUAGCAACACCACAAUCUAGACCAGAGAUUUGGGUACCUACGUUCAACUGGAGAUUAAGAUGCCCCUCUUAUUGCUCAGGAAAAGAGGAAGCCUAAUCUGUGUCCAGUGAGGCUCCACCUCAGAUGAGCAGCUCUGGAGCCAGGACUCGUUCUGGAUGGCAAGGGAAGGGCAAGCUGGAUGCCCAAGCCUGCACAUUGCAAAGAUGCUAAGGGAUGCCUCUGCUACAGCACCUGAGCGUGAGCUGCAGACAAAGGAUGCUCAAGACAUCCCUGAAUUGUUUUUAGAACUGCCUGAAAUGGACUCUGAAAUGAGUUUAUCUGAUGGGUUAAAGCAGCAAUGCAUACAAGAAGUACCUCACAUCCUUGAGAUCCUUGGUUUCUUUGUGCAGAGGUAAGUUACCAAAUCCCUGGUAGGAUUCUACAGGUGAAAUG